GGAUGUGAGGGCGACCUAGCUGUGACAUUGGUCACCCCACUGAUCACCAGGGUUGAUUCAGCUGAUCUGGGUGGGUAGGCGGGUGUCCCCUUCUUCCCUCAACACUCCAUGUGCAUCUGUCCCAAAGCCGUGUGCUCAGUCAAAGAGGACGACCACCCCCAAUAAAGAAGGACCAUUCUUCGGUCAAGGGAUAUACAAGUAAGUGUGCUCCCCUGCUAGAACCUUCAAACAAGCUCUCAAAAAGAGAAUAAAACAUUAGAAUGAAAAAGUACAUUUAAAUACAGAAACAGCAGUAAUCGAAAGGUGAUAGGUGAGUACUACAGCUCUACACU
rnacentral:snRNA from 1 species